rnacentral:rRNA from 1 species
AUUGAACGCUAGCGGGAUGCUUUACACAUGCAAGUCGAACGAGUGGCGGACGGGUGAGUAAUAUAUCGGAACGUGCCCAGUAGCGGGGGAUAACUACUCGAAAGAGUGGCUAAUACCGCAUACUAUUGGAGCGGCCGCUAUCGGAUUAGCUAGUUGGUGAGGUAAAGGCUCACCUAGGCAACGAUCCCUAGCUGGUUUGAGAGGAUGACCAGCCACACUGGGACGGAGACACGGCCCAGACUCCUACGGGAGGCAGCAGUGGGGAAUUUUGGACAAUGGGCGCAAGCCUGAUGCAGCCAUGCCGCGUGUAUGAGAAGGCCCUCGGGUUGUAAAGUACUUUCGGUAGGGAGGCGUUACCGGCAGAAGAAGCACCGGCUAACUACGUGCCAGCCGCCGCGGUAAUUC